rnacentral:lncRNA from 10 species
CUGGGAGGUACCUGGUUGGAGGUGAGGAAGGACGUAUUUUCUUCCCCUUCCGCCAUGAUUGUACAGAGAAGGUAUCAUCUGUGAAGAACAGGACCUCAUCAGACACUAGAUCUGCUGGCACCUUGAUCUUGGAUUUCCCAGCCUCCAGAAUUGUGAGCAAUGAAUUUCUGUUGUUUAUAAAUUACCCCGUCUAAAGUAUUUUGUUAUAGCAACAGGAAUGAACUUAGAUACCACUAUACACACUCUGCUUGCACUGAUGGUGCUUUGGAGGUUGAAGGAAUUGGGUGUUCGAUAUGUGCUGAAGAGUUAAGGGAAAAGGGCAGUUGUUGCAUGUUACUGGAAUUGAAAAGUAGAAAAGCGAACAUUUAUGUGACUAAGAAAAAUGGAAAUCCCUUAGCCCUGAAGAUCUUCAGUGAUAUUAGGAAGAUUCUCUCUUUCCCAUCACAUAUGGAUUUAGGGUUAAAGUCACUCCACUUAAAUAUUAUGGCAACAGAGAGGCGCUCAGGACCUGGAGACCUCCAAGCUGCUGCUGACUUUUGAGUUUCACAACGUUGAGAAGACAUAUUGAGCAUCCACCAUCGGCCAGGCAGAUCAAAGAAUGGAUCUGGGAGGGAAGUAGUGAGUGGAUGAAGAGAAACACAAAAAAGCUGAAAAUGCCAGACACAUCCCGAUCUCCCUUGCACCAAGCAGAGCCGUGGCCUGGGCUCAGCCAAUCAGACUCAUCGCUCCUGAGCUGAAUUACAAGCGAAUGAAGUGGAGAAGGAGGGACCCUGCAGGAUCCAUUCUAGCAAGGGCGUUGGCAGCCACAGCAGCCACAACAGUUUCCCCGAGGCGGCAGAUCUGGUGGCUGCAUCUGAAUGGAACAGCAGAGGGCUGGCAUUGUAAACUAUGAGCUGCAGGUCCACAGCAGCAACAGCGGAGUCUGCACAGGGCCGGUUCUGAGCCUGCUUUCCAACAUCAUCCCAGCUGUAUGGCCUCCAAGGCUGGUUUUAGGCUCUCUCAUAUACUCUGUGUGCUAUCCAAUAUCCUACAAUAAAUUCCUUUCUGGUGUAAAUCAGGAAAAAUUAGUUUGUUGCUUGCAAACUAAGCACCCUGGCUGUUAUAUGCACAACUUCUGGAAGGGCACACAGACACAAUCCAUUACUAAAAUGACUAGUCUUAUUGAAAGCUUUCUA